rnacentral:lncRNA from 1 species
GCUGCGUGGGCCGCCCUCUGACCCCUGCCCACGUGAGGGAGGGGCUUUUCUGGUGGAGCUCAGUCUACACCCCAGGCUCCGGGCCUGGCUCCUUGCGGCCCCUGGUUUCCAGGUGUGUACAGGGCCCAGGAGAGCUGCUGUGCAGUCCGGGCAGGGACUGCGGCCUGGGACACAAAGCCCCUUCAAGGACAGCAUGGGAGGGCAGUCCCACCUCGCACCACUCCUGUGCUCACAGAACACGGCCUCGGGGGCUCACCUCCUGCCCCUGCCCCCUCAGUCUCCACCCACACACACGCACAUCACACCACACACACAGGUGCACACACACUGCAGUGCACAGUCACUGUACACAUGCACCACACACAGGGACACACUUGCCACACACACACAGGCACACUACGUGCACACAUACUCACACCACACACAUACAGCCUUUUCUUCACACGUCUGAAUCCUGAUUGUCAGAGCAGCCACUUUUGGACUCAGCG